UACGAAGGGGGCUAGCGUUGUUCGGAAUUACUGGGUGUAAAGGGUUCGUAGGCGGUGUGGCAAGUCGGGAGUGAAAUCUCUGGGCUUAACUCAUAGGCUGCUUCCGAAACUGCUGUGCUUGAGUGUGGGAGAGGCGCGUGGAAUUGCAGGUGUAGCGGUGAAAUGCGUAGAUAUCUGCAGGAACACCCGUGGCGAAAGCGGCGCACUGGAUCACAACUGACGCUGAGGGACGAAAGCUAGGGGAGCAAACAGG
rnacentral:rRNA from 1 species